rnacentral:rRNA from 1 species
UACAGAGAGUGCGAACGUUGUUCGGAAUCACUGGGCUUAAAGCGCACGUAGGCGGCAUCGUAAGUGUCGGGUGAAAUCCCACGGCUCACCCGUGGAACUGCCCGGCAGACUGCGAUGCUCGAGUGUGGUAGGGGAGAACGGAACUCCUGGUGGAGCGGUGAAAUGCGUAGAUAUCAGGAGGAACACCGGUGGCGAAGGCGGUUCUCUGGUCCACAACUGACGCUGAGGUGCGAAAGCUAGGGGAGCAAACGGGA